CCUACGGGAGGCAGCAGUGAGGAAUAUUGGUCAAUGGACGCAAGUCUGAACCAGCCAUGCCGCGUGCAGGAUGACGGCUCUAUGGGUUGUAAACUGCUUUUGUACGGGGGUAAACCCCGAUACGUGUAUCGUUUUGCACGUAUCGUACGAAUAAGGAUCGGCUAACUCCGUGCCAGCAGCCGCGGUAAUACGGAGGAUCCGAGCGUUAUCCGGAUUUAUUGGGUUUAAAGGGUGCGUAGGCGGUUUGAUAAGUUAGCGGUGAAAUGUCGGGGCUCAACCCCGAAACUGCCUCUAAUACUGUUGGACUAGAGAAGAGGUGAGGUAGGCGGAAUGGAUGGUGUAGCGGUGAAAUGCUUAGAGAUGACAAAGAACACCGAUUGCGAAGGCAGCUUACCAAACUAUAUCUGACGUUGAGGCACGAAAGCGUGGGUAGCAAACAGGAUUAGAUACCCCAGUAGUC
rnacentral:rRNA from 1 species